UUUGGCUCAGCAGGACUGGGGUCUCAAUAGACAAGUCCUCUAAAAGAGAGAGACUGUCUCCUCUCCUGUUUGAGCUCCCCUAUAAUCGACUCUGAUAAACUUCAGGAUCUACUAAGAACGUUUGAAACACUUAAAGUACAUUUCAGGUCUUCUCACUCCAAAAACAAUCAUCUAUCACCUGAGGUCCUCCGCAGGAUAAGACUCUGCUUGCCAUUCUUCGAACUAGACUGAAGACCAGUCCAGUUUUUGCUCAUCUGACGAACAGCUUCAAAAAGCCGAAACCUCUCCCAAAACUCAGUCUGUUUGCUUCAAAGUUAUUUUGAUUUGAGCUCAAAGGUCAGUCUGUUAUCUAUCUGCUCAGGUGAUUAUAGUUUAUCUUUUUAUCUAUAUCGAUCAUUUCCCUUCAGAGGAGCUGGUAGUUUAUAGGAGUUAAAAGUUCUUCAAUCAUAAGUGUUCUGAUAACGACAGAAAAGACUCUUUAACUUCACCAUCCUGUCUCAAGUGUUUUUAUUUAUACGUUUACUGAAGUGCAUGAUAGGAAACUUCUCCUCGUCCUGUGAAUAAGCACACAGACACCAAUCCACCAUCUCUGCUCUGACAUGAAAACACCUCCUGAACUCUGAGCUGCUGCUGCUCUCAGCGUUACCUUGACUCUUCGUGACACAACACUCACAUACCGAGACACACACGCACGCACGCACACACGCACACACACACACAUACACACACACACACACACACACACACGCCCGAAUGAUGAGAGGUCACAUGAACAAUGUUUUGGCUUCUUCUAUACAGGCUGCUUCUGUCUGACUGAUAAACACAGACUGGUUUGAGCUGGAUCAAGAAACAGGCAACAACAGCAGCAUGAACAUGCACAGACACACAGAUCUGCACACACACACACACACACACACACACACACACACACACACACACACACACACACACACAGACAUACACACAGAGACGGAUCUGCAGACAGUUUUCAGAGACCUUGAAUGAAAACCAUUUCCAUGAAUGAUAGACUCUUUUUCUUCAUCCACAGACAGGCUGAGGUUUUGUUUUGUGUCUGCUUUAGGAAUGAGACUCUGAAACUCGAUUCUCAGGAAGCUCAGGAACAAAACACUGAGACAAACUCCAGGACAAAAAGUCUGUCCUCUGUAUCUCUGAUAUCAUGUUUUAACCACACCCUUAAAAAAAGACACACAAAGACGUCAAAUCUCCAGAGAAAGGCUGAUAUCAGAUCUUUGGGGAACUUUAUCAGGCUGUACCUUCCACCUAUAAGAGCUGAAACUGUGAGGUAAAGGUAGCAUAGAAAGUUCAUCAUCUGCUGCUUUGCUCAGUACAUUCAGUUCCUCUCAAACUCUUGCGAACAUUAGCUCAUGAACUGCACGAAAAGUUUCAUGAAAUGUGUGUCUGUGCCUGAAACGCUACGCACAAACCUCACAUGAUCGUGUUUAAAACUGUGUAAACAUCAAGCUGCAGUGACCUAAGGAUCUGCUGCAGAGAGGACAAGUUCUGACCGAGCCAGGAGUUUGGGAUUUCUCUCCAGGAGAUGUUUCAGACGUGGUUUCUACUCAGAAGACCAAAAAGAUAAAUCAAAAUACGAAUAUUACUGCAGAGAAAUCAUUGGUGCUGUCAUUAUUGGUGUUGAUGAAGAGAUUCUCCAGAUCAGUAGGGUUAGGGUCAAGAAGUGUAGCCUGUAAUUCAGAAAAUCAGCUCUGAGAGUGAAGCACAGCAGACCAUACAGAAGCAGAAGAACAACACAAAAUGGUAUCAUCAGCGUAAAGAUCGAUUUUAAAAAAUGAGGUCUGCCAUCAGCCUUCAUGUAUUUGCACUCUCUGUCCCUCCUACUUUCUGUUAGCCUUACUGUACCCUCCUGGAGCACAGCAGACCGCACAGAAGCAGCAGAACAACACACAACGGUAUCAUCAACAUAAAGAUUGAUUGUAUUCAAUAUGAAAAAGAAACCUCAUCUUUUUGACUAAUGAAAUGACUUUAAAAUAUAUCUGGAUAACUUCUCAUGGAUGACUAGAUGAGUACUGACAAUGGUGUGGUGGUGGUUGUUGGUCAUAGCACAUCAGCAGGAGUAGCUGUGCUUUUCCAUCAUCAAUGUCUUGACCUCUGCUGCAUGUAUUUUGCUCUAAUUUUUUAAAUUUAAUUAUUUAACUAUUUUUUUUAUUUAUUAUUUGAACCAUUAUUAUUAUUGUUGUUAUAUUGUUAUUUUAUUUUAUCUUUUACUUAUUUACAUUUAUAUUUUAUAUUCUUCUUCUUCUUAUUAUUAUUAUUAUUAUUACUCUUAUUUUAAGGGAUGUAGAUAAGAGUUGGCCUAUGGGGUUUGUUCUGGGAGGGGGGCAGGUUUUGGUGAAAUUUGUAGUUCUACUGUUGUUAUUGAAGUUGUAUACUGUUUAUUAAAAAUGUUCAUAAAUAAAUUGUUAGAUAAACAAACAAACAAAAAAGAUUGUAAAAAAUGAGGAGUUCUGACCUAAUCAGUAAAGCAGCAAAGCUGCUUGAAAACAGAGAGUUGAUGGUCUGCCAUCAUCCUUCAUGUAUUGCAAGUUCUGUACCUCCUACUUCCUGUUUGCUUCACUGUACCCUCCUUAACCAGCUGAGAGUGAUGCACAGCAGACUGUACAGAAGCUGCAGAACAACACACAAUGGUAUCAUCAGAGUUAAGAUCGAUUUUACAAAGUGAGAAGGAGUUUGUACCUUAUCAGUAAAGCUUUAACACUGCCUGAAGGCAGGGAGUUUAUGAUCUGCCAUCAUCCUUCAUGUAUUUGCACUUUCUGUCCCUCCUACUUCCUUCAAGAUUUGUUUAUUUGUCAUGUGCAUGUUAAACAAGGUCAACAAUGCAAUGAAAUGCCCUGGAUGAGAGGACCGCUUGACUCAAAGGAGUACAGAUGAAACACACAAUAAGUACCUCCCCCUCCUACCCACCCACGUUCCUGCUGUAUCUUGUGACUUUACAACUCAUCCUGUGGACGUGUGCAAUAUGGUCACUGGACCUUAGUCUAGCACUUCUGUGCAAUAUGGGCUACAUGCAAUAUCAAUCUGACAGUAUUGAAUGCAUUUAUUUAUUUAUUUAUCGCUAUAAUACAUAUAAUUAUUUAUUAAAUGUCUACUUCCUCCUUACUUAUGAAACAAUGAAUCACUAGCACUGACAUGUUUACUUGCACUCUGGUGAGAUGUGAAAAUACUUUUCGCUGUACUGUACUUGUACUGUACAUUGACAAUAAAUUGAAUCUCAUCUCAUCUCUCAUCUCAUGUUGCACAUGAUAAAUAAUGGUGUACGAAUUGCUGUACUGCACAUGGUAUUGCACAUCAUAGAUGAUAUUGCACAGUUAAGUGGGUUAUUGCACAGAGUAUUGUCUGGUGAUACUGUCAGGAGUUUAGUACACGAGUAGUUUAAUUGUACUCUCCUUUACUGGCAUAGAGUGAAGCACAGCAGACUGUACAUGAAGCAGCAGAACAUCACACAAUGGUAUCAUCGGCGUAAAGAUCGAUUCUACAAAAUGAGGUCUGCUAUCAGCCUUCAUGUAUUUGCACUUUCUGUCCCUAGCUUCAUUGUACUCUCCUUAACCAGCUGAGGGUGAAGCUACAGUUUUGUGAGUGUGUAUCGUGGCACAGUAACUGUUGCCGUGGUACUCCAUAAUAAACUAAAAGUCCGUCUGUAACCAGAAACCAGACUCUAUAGACAAAAACUGUGACUAUCCCGCAGAAUAUGGGAGUCAAGGUCUUCCUCUGCCUUUCGAUGAUUUGUGUUCUUGUUUCAGACACAAGUUAUUCCUCCUUUCCAAACCUGUGGUAACAAAAACAAUUUAAUACAAUGGUCUGAACAAACUAACCAAUCUGAGCGAAGGAAGAGCAACAGCUCCUGUUUUCUGCAAGAGAAAGGACUCGAUUUAAGGAGAGCAACGUCACGGUUGUUUUUGAUUUUAGACAUCCUCCUCUUUAACAAACAGCUACAUCUCUGCAGAGAUCUUUACUGUUUUAGUGUCAGACACUUAAAAAACAACCUGAGCCAGUGAGGGUCAAAAACAAGAACUUUUUAAACAAACCAAAACAAACAAUUACAUUUCAGCUUUUACAGCCUGAUUCACUGAUUUCACUGAAAUACCUCUUGAACGUCUUCACCUGUUAAAUACUCAAUUAUCUAAAAAUAGAGCUCAGGUACAAAAACAUGGAGUUUGAAACGAUCGAGGGGCUUUUGGUGUGUAUUUAUACCUCGAGGUUAUGAUCAUGGUCGUCGCGGGUUAGUGUUCAAAAAUAAAUCAUCUGCAUGUUUUCAUCAACCUGCACAUGUGUCAGACGAACAUGCACGUUGAUGCACACAUUGGUCCAAACACACACACUCCUGUGCACGGUGCUUCAGAGGUAUGUGGGCUGAGGGCCCGCUCACAGGCUGUCCUUGGUGACUCCUAAACAGGAAUCAGGAUUGGCUGCUGCGCUGUGUUUGGAUCAGCUGUUUCCAAACAGCCCACAGAAAACUUGACUUUAAUCAAAUCCAAACUGUGAGAGCGGAAAAUACAAACACACUUCUCUCUUUGUUGCGUGCACACACGUUUCUUCAUGCGGGAGCUUCUUCAUCUUCAAAAACAUGCUGAGACACUCGCCCUUUAUCCUGGCAUCCUGUCCAUGCGCAGACGGCAAGCCAACAAUCUAUGGACGUUACCAAGACUGCCAAAAACAAACCCGAGCUGUCUGCACUCGUAUCAAAGCUCUGAGAUAUGAUCGAUGAGAGAGAGGGUUGUGCUUUCAAACCCCGCUCCUCUGCAGGCUGAGGAGAAAAUAAACCGCAGCUGUACAUCAGUCCGUAAAAUGUUAUCCACCCAUAUUAAAGCACCCUUACAAAGGUACAGAGGUAAAAAUAAACAUGCUGAUACUAGCAAGUCAAGGAAUAAACAAACAGACAGAGCUGGAUGUGAGGCUCCUCAUCUGAUAUUUUCAUCGUAUCAGCCAAAUCCCAGUCCUGAAUGGAUGCUGGUGUUUAUGUAGAAGUUGGAGUCAUUGCUUGGACCUUUUAGAGGGCAAAAUCCUACAAAGAGAAGAGGAGAGAACCGAGGACUGACCCCUGAGGAACUCCAUAAACCAGAGUAUUACAGGCAUGGUUGAUGAUUGUAGAGAUUGGUAAUUAUUUUGAACCAUUUCUAUGGCGAUUAUGGUCCUAUGGUGCGAUCUCCACAAAGUGAAGAGAAAAAAGAAUGGAAAAAAUCCGUUCACCCUAGCAGGUGCAGGGCUGCAAAAACAUUGACCAAUAGGUGCCAUCCGUCCCGGACAGCUCCUAUUGGUCAAUCUCAUGCUCUUCCUCUCCAUGCAAUCACCUUGCUGUAUUCGACACACCCCUCUCCCUUAGUUCCGACUCGUCCCCUCCCACUCUCCCAGCCGUGAUAUUUUUAUUUAUUAUUAUUAUUAUUUUUUUUGUAGGACGGUAGGGGAAAGUCCCGCCUCCCUCGCCUCUGAUUGGCCAGAAAAGCUGGAAACAUCAUCACACGCUCAAGCCGAGCGCGGGCUGUUGGCUCUGUACAUCGAACAGAACAUUACAGAACAUUAACGCACUGAAUCACCUAACCCUAACCCUAACCCUAACCCGACGGACGAGGACAUUUCACAGCCAUUAUGAAUAACCAAUCGGAGCCCAGCACUUCUAGCCAUUCAGAGGCGAAGGAGGGCAGGACCUUCACUUACCAUCCUACAAAAAAAAAAUUUUGCCUCCCGGCCCUCCUCAGAGCCCUUAGCAGCUAAAAGUAGUGUAGUGGCUUAGCAACAGGAGCUGUGAUGAAGAAGGACGCAAAAAGAAAACGCAAGCCGACAGAAAUAAGGGCGGAGACGAAGAGGAAAUGUGACCAAGCGAGGAAUCUAACUGGAAUAAACAUCGGAUCAUUCUUUGAGCCGUGGGGAAAGCUCCGCCAGGAUUUGGGCCUGAAAACAGACGCAGAGACAGCAGAGUUUUUGUUGAACAGGUAAAUAACUCUUAUUAGUCUCUGCUAUGUCAAUACGGUAGCUGUCCAGGCAGCUGCAAACGCUGCUCAUUAGCAGAGCUGGCGUUUACUGCCGCUAGUCACUAGCAACUGAACAUGGUGAAUCCUUUUUUAAGCUAGCAACGGAUCUUCUGCCAGAGGAGGUGUGUCUUGGGGAGGGCAAUACAGGUUCAGGGGGGAAUUAUCUUGGAGCACAGAGGGGAGAGGUUUGUGUGUGAGGGGUGGGACGCUUUUUUCAAAUCUGCCUCAACAGCCCAGUUUUUUUCAACUGCUUCUCAGAUGGACAACCAGGACUUCCAAUUAUAGUCUGUAACUGGGACUGACACAAGACAAGCUGCAGAAUUCAAAAGUUGCUGUAAUAACCUGUUUUUAUGAUAAUGUUAGAAAGUUUACAUACAGUGACGCUAAAGAGGAGUGGCUUCGUCUAAAUAUGAGUUUUACAGCUCAGCGGGGUUUUGGGUGAAUCACACACUCUAAUCCACCAGCAGGGGGCAGACAUGGAGCAAAGAUAGAGGUCCAGUCAGUUCACUACAAUAGAGGAAACACCUUUACCUCAGUCUGUGACCCGGCUGUCAGUUAUCAACAGGAGAAGAAAGUCAAAGUUUUGACGUUUAGCAGGUCAGUCUUAAUCAAAAAUUUAUAUAAAAGGUUUUAUUCAUUUAAAGGCAAUAGUCCCAAACUUUGAACUUUUUAUUUUUUUAACUCUUAAAUUGUAAUUUCUUCGUGCUCUGUAGAAUUUACCAGACAAAACAAGGGGAGGAUGAAAUCUCGGACAAUUUUUAAACUGAUCCAUUCAUCGGCUGAUUGAUCUAAAUUGUUUAUAUCUGUACGCUGUCGUUACUGUCAGCUUUGUAAUAUCUUCAACUAUCUGAUGUUGUGUGCCUUUCCAUACAAAUCUGUUAAAAUGAGACGGUUUACAAUGAAGAGGUAAUCUGAGAGAUACUGCGGUCUUUGGCGCCCCCUGGUGGUCAGUCUGUUAAUCUAGCUGAACUCCGGAGGCGUUAAAUAAUGAGUCCAAUGUUUAUUGUUUUAUUAAAGAAAUACACACGCUGGUAACUUCAUCGAGAAAAAGUAGAUCCAGGUUCAUGUUUCCCAUGUUUCACCAACCCUCUUCAGACUUUAGUGGACCCAGAAGACCAGGUUCUGGAGUCUGACAGUGAGAUGUUUUGGCCUGAUAGAGGAUUUCAGCGGCUCUAUAGUCCAGGGUUUGCUUGGACCCUCUACUCUUAAAAACCGAGGAUGCAGCAUCUAUGAUUUACAAUUCUUCGUUGAAAGGACAACUGGACUUUCUUGAAACGUCCCAAGUAAGUCCAGUUGUCCUUUCCAUGCAGUGAUUCCCACUCCAGAGUCCUGUCUGUUUUUAAUGCCCUGAAGACCAGGACCAUCCAUUCCUGGUUUUGGUCCUUUUUUUAUAUUUUAUGUUUCUUAAAUGUUGGCAGAUUUUAAAAACUUGUCCCUAAAGUUUUACUAUUUUUUUUUAAGUCUGCUGUUAUAGCACCGACUUUGUUCAUAAGCAAAUGCACAAAAGCAUUUUCUUGCCUUCUUUAAAGACAUUGUGUAGGAAAAUAAACACAAGAGUUAAUAUGAAUUAAUACAUUUCACAAAGGAAAUUCAGAUUACAAAAUUAGAAUUCUGUAUUUAAGAAAACAAAAACUCUCUUUUUUGGGUUUAAACCAUAGACUGUAUAUACUAUGGACAACAUAGUUCUGCCUUCCGCCAGUAUACGGAUUUGAAGCCAAAAAUCUCUUGGUAAUUCUACGUGUUUUUUUCUCCAUUUCCUGGAACCAACAUUGUGCAGUCGUGUUGUGCGCAUUCGGUGGGAGUCUCUGUGAUGAUGCUCGGCUCAAACAGCGUGUCCCUACUCAAUCUUGGUAUGCCCAUAGGCUGUAUCAAGUGUCAAUCAUAGAAAACAUGAACCCCCUAAUAACUUUUAAAAACAGAGCUGUACAGAAAAAAAGAGGACUUGAGCACAAACCAGUCUGACAGUAUCUACAUGUCAACAUCACAACCAGGGAGGAGAAACAUUUAUAUUCUGUGUCAUUAAUUUCUAUAGUUUGUCCACAACUUCAUAAGCUUUGCUGGCAGAGGCAGGAUUUAUGACCUAUACUGCAGCCCGUCACCAGAGGGUGCUGUUCCUUGGAGUGGCUUCACCCAGCAGGGAGGCAGACGGCGUGCAUUCUAUAUACAGUCUAUGGUUCAAAUCCGGUCUGCAGCCUGUAAAAAAGACCAAACAAACUCUAAAAUCAGAAUAAAGACACGGACACGGAGAGCUUUGUAACAGAGCCUGUAUAUUUUGUAUAUUUUUGUACAUUUUUCUGCAAAAUACAAAUACUAGCACAUUUGUGAGUGAGGGACUUUGCUGUACAUGAUCUUUGACUGCGAACACAGUUUGAUUUUAAUCUGAGAAACAUUGUCUCCAAAGUGGCGACAAAGGCCAGCUUAUGCCGCUAACAAUCUCUUUUUUUGAGGAUUUUUACACCGGUGGUUAUUUUUGAAAGCGCGUUCAGAGGGGAAAGUUGAAAUUUACAACAUGGAGAACAUUCACCGAUGUCUCUAAACACGAAUUGAAUAAUUUCUUUUGUUUCCAGGCAGUUACUUGUUACAGAAUCAAACCAAAGAAAAAACACAAUAAACAGGCUAUUUCACACUUUGGUUAGUUGACACUCCAUCUGUCACCUCCACCCGCUCACAGUCGACUCUGCCCAACUGGAGGUGGAGCUCCUGGCUCUCCUGAUCCCCCCUGGGUGGCUCUGACCGGGUGGGUGUGUUUCAGUGAGUCUGAACCGGAGACAACACACUCGUUGUAACAUAAAGGAGUGCCGAAAAAAAACAACAACACGGGCUCUGCCCUUCAACACGCGGCUAACUAAAGGCAGCUAGUGCAGCUAACAGGGGGCUGAGUCUGAUUUUAGUGGCUAACGGGGACAGACAGACUGCUGACUGUGGCCGAAGGUCUGAGCUCCAAAUAUACAGUUUUUAAACCAAAAUAUUCAAAUGUGAACAACCCUCAGCCAUAGCUCCGUCUGCUGCUAAUAGAAAACUGUGGACGUCAGAUUCUGUUCAGGUGUGUAAGUGUCAGAGCAGCUUAGGUACAAGGCACCAGUUAUCUUCACGUCUGCAGUGACUCUGUAACUCCACGGCACAAACACAGCAGCGGAAAAAUGAAGUACAUUCACUCAAAUAAGCCUCAGAAUUUUUUUUUUAGUGUUUUUUCAUUUUGAGAACAGGUAAACUUGACUUUGACUUUCAGGUGAAGCUUGAAUCCCCAAAGGUGUUGAAACUCAAAGCCUAACCCCCAAUUUCCACCGCAUCUGAUCGUAACCAUUCAAGUUAACGCGGGAAUUUCCACCGCAUCUUUCUGUUCAGCUGCGGAUCGCCGGACUUUGCAGCUGAUCACAAUUCAGCACAGAUUAACCCGUGCUGGAAAGGAAGUCAGGCACAGACACAAAAUAAAACAUUGAGCUUCUUUUCAAAAUAAAACACUCAAUGUUUCCGGAGGAUCGUAUUUCACACCAUGCCAACGGGCGGAGACAAACAAGUGAAUGAUUUUUAGACAUCAUUUCACCCUGAUGACACCAUGGUUGAGGAGAUGCUGAUUCUAGAAGUCUAGAAGUAGAUUUCCUCCUCUGGAAGGACACAAUCUUUUGCUUUUAUAGUUAUGUAGCUGUCUUUAUAGAGACAACUCGUUAUCACACGAUUGCACUUGAAUCUGCGUGUUCUUGCGAGUUCUCGCAGUUACUGCUGUCCGUAGUCUGCCAUGAAAUUUGCCUCACAAACGGAUCUGGUAGGAAUUGGCGGACAGCGAAAUCACUGCAGUCCUUAAUCGGAGCCGUUAUGGAUGCGGUGAAAAUUGGGGGUAAGAGGAAGAAGCUUAAGGACCUGCAGUUCCUCAAGUGUCCAUUAGAGGCUGGCACCAAAAGUGAGCCAGUCCCUAUAGAGCUCCAUGUUAAAAGUUCCAACUGUACAGCAGAAUUAAACAUGUUCACAGCCUGGUACAAAACCAGUUUUAGUGUCUCUGGUUUACUUUUUUGUUUGCUCACACUUCAGGAGUGAUUUUUCUAAAAUAACUUUUUAUUAUUUUGAGGCUCAUAGCUAUGAAUAAUCUGUCAUAAAUAGGUGUGAAGUUUCUAACCACCUUUUUUAACUGGGGUUUUACACGAGUAAAUGCUCUCUGCACUUCUUCCAUUGCUGCACAUGCUGUUGGUUUGACCUCAGAGUCUCUGCAGGACCAGGUUGAAGUUGUGCUUUUGUCCUCUGUGCUCAUUGAUUGUCUCUGUCUGACACCAACUGAACAGGAAACCUUAAACUGACCUAAAAUCUCCCUGAAAGUUUCAUAGAAAAUGUCUCUGCUUUUUUCUUAUAUUACUGUUUUCUUAUUAAAUAGAGCUGCAGACAUCGACAAUAUCAAUUUGAUACAAUAAGAAAAACACAACACUAUAAACUCUGUGCAGCAAAGCAUCAGCAACCUGUUGGAUAUGGCUUUAAGGAGUGCAACCCUCACUCUGAUGAAUCCUGCAAAGCUCUCUGCACAUGCUCCACCUCUUCUUCUCUCUCUUUCUCUUUGACUCUUUUUCCGUUUGUGCUCAACAACACCAUCAAAAUCUGUCCUUCAAUAAGUUUCAGCUCAUCAAAAGCUCCUGUGAGGAGUUUGUUAUUUUUUGGGUACCUCCGUAUGUCUGAGAAGAGCAGAAAAAAAACCUUCACUGUCACGAAUGAACUGGAGGUUUCCACGGCGUUCUCUGCAGAGAAGGCAUCAGGAAAAGUAACUGAUAGCUACUAAAACAACUUAUUUAAAGGACAAAGAUUCUCAACGAGGGGUAAACUUGAUUGUUAAAAUAAAGUGAAAGUAUAGAGACAGAUUAAAAAGAAACAAGGCGUAUGCAUAAAAAAACAAAAGUUCCGCACAGGAGCUUUAAAACCACAGAGCUCUGUUUUUAUUUAGAAGAUAAUGUCGGCUGUUUAGAUUUCUAUGGAAGCAAAAAGGGACAAAACAAUUAAAAUUUUGCUGCAUAUCACCAAUCUGAGCUACUGCUGAAAUUAAAAAACAUAACAGUUACCAUUUAAAAGCUUUAAAGACAUCCUGAUUUUCAAUUUCAACAAAAUUGAAUUUUUUUAUUUUCAUUUAACUUCUUUGAAUCUCGGUUUUUAUUUAACUUUUAAAAAAAUUAGGUUCCUAAAAAGUGACGAGACAGAAAUAAAGAAAUGAAGAUGGAAACUAAAUUUUUACAUUAUGUUGGUGAAGUUUAAAGUCAUGGAUUUAAUGCAGAAAUUACAUUUUUUGAUCAGAUGGAUGGUUUUGGUGUAAUUAAAAAAUAAAUCAUAGGUCUUAGUUUCUUUUAUCUAAAAUCUAUUAUUAUGUUUUUACACAGUUUGUAAUUUUAUAUUUCUUAAAAAUAACACUAAACUUUUACAUUUUAAAGGUUAAUUGAUUUUUUUAAUCAUUUAUAACAUUUUGUCCUCUUUUUGCUUCCACACCUUUCUCAAUCCGGAUAAAAAUUGCCGCAAAAUAACAGAUUUCUGCUUAAACAGCUCUGAAAAUCAUCCACUGACUCUCAUUUUCACAUCAAGUGAAAUUCCUUCAAAGCUUCUUUUCUCUGCAGCCUGUUGUUAAUCACUUCCUCGUCACUAUAACCUCCUCUGUCUCAUUUAACUCUUUCUCAUUACAUCAUCUUCAUCACUUCUCGCUGAACUUCCUCUUUCUCUCACUUUCUGUAUAUAUUUGACACCCUUUACCUUCUGUACAUUCAAAGUUAAAUGUGCUCUAAGUUUAAAAUGUUGAACCUGCAACACAGUGUGCAUGCAGAGCUCCGCCCUUGCACAGAGCUCCGCCUCUGCAGUAAUGCUCCGCCUCUGCACGCCUGCUCCUCUCAUGCAUGUUUGAUUUAAACUCACCAGUAGCUUCACGUUCAGAGUACCAGACUUCUUCACUUUUUGUUAGUUUGCAUACAUGUGUGCACAGACUCAGUGUGCAUGUAACAUAUUUUUGUUAUUUACGUAUAUUCCCCUGCCCCCGAAUGCACACACACACAAAACAAGCGAUACAAACUCCCAGGCUGCUCACGUACGUAUUCGACCCCCAAAAACAGGUUUAUCAAACCAAUAAAAGACUUCUGGAGUCAAAAUCCUUCACUUUAAAGAGAGAAAGAAGAAUAGAGGGGGUUCAAGGGUCACAGGAAAGAAAGUAGAAUUUUUUAUUCUGCUGAACUUUUUGCAUGUUUAGACGUUUAACUCAGUUUUUAGUGGAAGUGUGCAGUGAUUUUAUUUUAAAAUCCAGGCAACCUUCACAAGAACGAGCUUGUUUCAGGGUGAUUAUGGGACGGGAAAAGAAGUUCAGCUUUUGAAAAGACAAGGAAGGAUAAAUUGCGUCUAUUUCACAUCUAUUUGGAAAGACAGAUGUGUAGAAGAGGGAGUGAGAUGUUAUAAAAGCUGAGAGUAUAAACUUUUUAGAAGAGUUUCUGCUCUGGGUCUUUAUAGGGACACCUGAGAGAGAUGCUGUAAUCAGUCAGCAUCAUCACAUCAGAUCUCUUUAUCAGCAGGUUAGUGUUGGAGUAAACGCCCUGAGCAACAAAGAUGACACCUAAAAAAAUUAUUUUUUUAUUGAUCUGAUGCACCGGGCCUAAAAGGGUUGAACUUUCAGGAUAAUUUGGAUCAGAAAAGAGAUUUUAAACUUUUUUAUUUGCAGCAGAAUUUUGGGGAAAAUAUGAAAAAAAAUCUCCUUUUCUAAAUCUUUUUGUUUGAAUGACGAAAUCUUUACGCCUCUGUGGAUUAUGAUCAGAAUUUUCAUGACUGAUUUUUUCUUGUUUUGCUCUCUGCAGUUUUAAAUGUACUUCUCUCCUCUGAGGAAACAGAAGAAACUUUGAUAAAUCGGCUCCGUCUCUCUCUCCAGUGAAGGAUUCUGUCCCUCUCAGCGGUCUGAUAAACCCUGAUCUCUGUCUGUCAGGCGCCUCUCCUCUCAGGUAUGGGUCGCCCUGCUCUACAUGUUGUGAAAACAGCAGCUUGUCGCUGAAUUCACUCAAACAGACUUGUGUCAGCCCCUCUCAUGUUCACGUUACAUGUUAGCACACCCACUCAGUACAGAAGAAUAUGAUAAUAAUUAUAAUAUUAAUAUUAAUUAAUAAUAAUAACACUAUAU